UGUUUCGGCUAGGGGGUCAUCCCGACUUACCAACCCGAUGCAAACUACGAAUACCGAAGAAUGUUAUCACGGGAGACACACGGCGGGUGCUAACGUCCGUCGUGAAGAGGGAAACAACCCAGACCGCCAGCUAAGGUCCCAAAGUCAUGGUUAAGUGGGAAACGAUGUGGGAAGGCACAGACAGCCAGGAUGUUGGCUUAGAAGCAGCCAUCAUUUAAAGAAAGCGUAAUAGCUCACUGGUCGAGUCGGCCUGCGCGGAAGAUGUAACGGGGCUAAACCAUGCACCGAAGCUGCGGCAGCGACACUAUGUGUUGUUGGGUAGGGGAGCGUUCUGUAAGCCUGCGAAGGUGUGCUGUGAGGCAUGCUGGAGGUAUCAGAAGUGCGAAUGCUGACAUAAGUAACGAUAAAGCGGGUGAAAAGCCCGCUCGCCGGAAGACCAAGGGUU
rnacentral:rRNA from 1 species